UGGGGAAUAUUGGACAAUGGGGGAAACCCUGAUCCAGCAAUGCCGCGUGAGUGAAGAAGGCCUUAGGGUUGUAACGCUCUUUCGCCCGCGAAGAUAAUGACGGUAGCGGGAGAAGAAGCCCCGGCUAACUCCGUGCCAGCAGCCGCGGUAAUACGGCGGGGGCUAGCGUUGUUAGGAAUUACUGGGCGUAAAGCGUACGUAGGCGGAUGCGCAAGUUGGGGGUGAAAUCCCGGGGCUUAACCUCGGAAUUGCCCUCAAAACUGCACGUCUUGAGACCGAGAGAGGUAAGGGGAAUUCCUAGUGCAGAGGUGAAAUUCGUAGAUAUGAGGAAGAACACCAGCGGCGAAGGCGCCUUACUGGCUCGGUACUGACGCUGAGGUACGAAAGCGUGG
rnacentral:rRNA from 1 species